CAAGAACGGUGUUUACAACAACAUGGACCGAUCAAUCUUAAAGAUGGAAAGGUCACGCUCCCCUGAGAAGUUGGGAAAAUUAGGCCCUACUUAGAAUGGUACUCCCAAAACAGAAAACUGUUUUGGGAGUAACAGAAAACAGUUCUUUUUUAUUUUGUCUGCUUGGAAUUAUUUUAUAAAAACAGUUUUUUCAAAAUAGAGUUCUCAAAGUAGCAGUUUCCUAAGAACAGCUCAGAGUUGUUUUUGCUGUUUUAGAGAACAUGCGGAGAACAUUAUUCUCCACUUAAAAAAGCGGUCCGUACAUUUAAUAACCUAUAUCGUUUAUAACAGUUUUGCGCCUCCUCUCUGCAACCCAUCUUCUCUCUCUUAAACCUCUCUGCAACGACAUCUUCUUUCUCUUCAACCUCUCCACAACUAAGAGAAGGUGGAUCUGACUCUUGAUAGAUUGUUAUUUACACAAAGAGAAGGGUGGAUCUAGUUCGUCAAGCUCUCUUUCUUCAGGUAAUCCUUCAAUCUCUCUCUCUCAGUCUCUCUUUGCAUUUGUAUUGGUAUUUUGUGGAUUAAAAUUUCUGGAACCUUCUUUCAGUUUUUAUCCAUUAUAUUAAUUGCUUUUGUGAUUAUUGAGAAGCUUUUGUUUUAAUUUUAUUUCUAAUUUGUUUUGGGAAAUAUUGAUGGAUUUUGUUGGUUGUGUGAGUUUUGUUGUGGAUUUCAUUUUCAGUUUAGGGAUUUAGGGUUUUCAGUUUAGGGAUUUGGUUUUCAAUUUAGGGAUUUGGAGGAAAGAGAGAGGAGACAACUUUAUGUUAAAAGCUUGAGGUAUUGCAAAAAAUUAUUUUGAUGGAGUUAACCAUCAACUAACGGAUUUGGCCAACUUCUUGUUUUUGUUGAAAUUUCAAGAUUGAUUAAAAUGAUUUUUUAAUUGAUUGGUAUGAUACCAGAGACGGUACCGGGUGUUGAUUGGAAUAGGCUAGACUUCUGUGCCCAGACAUCAUUGGUACUAUUGGACAUUCUUUGACUCUAUGGGCACGUUUGAGGGUCUCAACCUGGCCCAGCACCAUAAGAACAGGGAUUUGAAAUCUACAAUUAAUAACAUCUCUCUGUUUCCAUUGCGGGUCUGCCAAUAAAUAGCUUUAGGCUAACAAACCAACAAGAUGAUUGAGUGAGGAAACAACUUUUCUCCAAAUUUACAUAAGAAAUGGUUAAAUGAGUUCUUCAAUUGUAACAAGUAACCUAGGGAGGCUUGGAUAAGAACUCCAAAAAAAGUGCAGCAGUAUAAUGAUUUUCAUUGCAUAAAAUUACUAGGCAAGUAUAAUGAUUUGUCGACAUUUUAAGCUCGUAUUGAGAGCAAUAUGUCGCCUUGGGAAAUUCCUCAUAUGUCCACCACAAAGCAAUGAUGUGCCUUCUCAUAUACUUCAUAAUCCAAAAUACUAUCAUUGGUUUAAGAAUUGCAUUGGAGCAAUUGAUGGAACACAUAUAAGUGCUUUUGUACCUGCCAGCAAAUAAACUCCUUAUAAAGGAAGAAAGUCUAUAGUGACACAAAAUGUUAUGCGUGCUUGCUCAUUUGAUAUGCUAUUUACUUUCGUUUACGCGAGUUGGGAGGGAACGACAAAUGACUCAAGAGUUUUUAUUGAUGCAAUUACUAGAGCUGCUGCACGAUUCCGGAUACCAGCAGAUGGGAAAUACUAUGUAGUUGAUUCUGGUUACCCAUGCACAAAAUCAUUUCUGCCUCCAUAUCAUGGUCAAAGAUAUCAUCUACAAGAUUAUAAGGGGUAAUAAUCGGUAACUGCGUGGUGCAAAAGAAUUGUUUUACUAUCGGCAUUCAUCACUUCGCAAUGUCAUUGAACGUUGUUUUGGAGUACUAAAGGCUUGUUUUCCCAUUUUAAAGCUUAUGCCUUGCUAUAAGUUGGUUAGACAACGACUCAUAAUAACUGCUUGUUGCACGAUUCACAAUUUCAUUCGUCAAAAUAUAUUAGAUGAUCGUUUUUUUAUGGAAUAUGGGGAAAAAGAUAUUAAUGUCACUGAUGGGGGGAAUGGUAACAGUACUAAUGUUGGUGUAUUGAAUGCACUUAAUUUAUCUAAUGAUGGUACAGCACAAAUGGGAGCCCUUAGAAAUCAUCUGACAAAUCAAAUGUGGGCAUCAUUCAGAAGCAAUGAUAGAUGAAAUGAAUUUUAUAAUUCUCCAAUGUUUUGCUUUUAUUACCUAUUUGUGUAAUUCUCUAAUAUUUUGUUUUGGUUAUGUAUGAUUAAAAUUAAUGUUUGUACAACUAAAAGUGCAUAUGACACUUGAAGUAAUUAAUGUAACUCUUUUAUUGUUUUUCAAUUUAGUCAAAUUUUAAGUAAA